AGUGAACGCUGGCGGUAGGCCUAACACAUGCAAGUCGAACGGCAGCACAGUAAGAGCUUGCUCUUACGGGUGGCGAGUGGCGGACGGGUGAGGAAUACAUCGGAAUCUACUUUUUCGUGGGGGAUAACGUAGGGAAACUUACGCUAAUACCGCAUACGACCUGCGGGUGAAAGCAGGGGAUCUUCGGACCUUGCGCGAUUGAAUGAGCCGAUGUCGGAUGAGCUAGUUGGCGGGGUAAAGGCCCACCAAGGCGACGAUCCGUAGCUGGUCUGAGAGGAUGAUCAGCCACACUGGAACUGAGACACGGACCAGACUCCUAAGGGAGGCAGCAGUGGGGAAUAGUGGACAAUGGGCGCAAGCCUGAUCCAGCCAGCCCGCGUGGGUGAAGAAGGCCUUCGGGUUGUAAAGCCCUUUUGUUGGGAAAGAAAAGCAGCAGGUUAAUACCCCGCUGUUCUGACGGUACCCAAAGAAUAAGCACCGGCUAACUUCGUG
rnacentral:rRNA from 1 species